AGGGGGAGCGCCCGAUCUUGGAGUGGGUUCCCGGUGCCCUGGGCUCCGGGACCUGCGCUGCUGGAAUCGCGCUCCCGGGGCACGCAGCCCCCU
rnacentral:pre_miRNA from 1 species